GACGAACGCUGGCGGCGUGCCUAAUACAUGCAAGUCGAACGAGUGGCGGACGGGUGAGUAAUGCUUGGGAAUCUAGCUUAUGGAGGGGGAUAACUACGGGAAACUGUAGCUAAUACCGCGUACCAUAGGAUGAGCCCAAGUGGGAUUAGGUAGUUGGUGAGGUAAAGGCUCACCAAGCCGACGAUCUCUAGCUGGUCUGAGAGGAUGACCAGCCACACUGGGACUGAGACACGGCCCAGACUCCUACGGGAGGCAGCAGUGGGGAAUAUUGCGCAAUGGGGGCAACCUGACGCAGCCAUGCCGCGUGAAUGAAGAAGGCCUUCGGGUUGUAAAGUUCUUUCGGUAGCGAGGCGUUAACUACAGAAGAAGCACCGGCUAACUCCGUGCCAGCAGCCGCGGUAAUUC
rnacentral:rRNA from 1 species